GGUCGAUUAGCUCAGUUGGUUAGAGCGUGGUGCUAAUAGGAUUAUCCUGUAACGCCAAGGCCAUGGGUUCGAACCCCAUAUUGACCU